UAGGGAAUCUUCGGCAAUGGACGAAAGUCUGACCGAGCAACGCCGCGUGAGUGAAGAAGGUUUUCGGAUCGUAAAACUCUGUUGUUAGAGAAGAACAAGGACGUUAGUAACUGAACGUCCCCUGACGGUAUCUAACCAGAAAGCCACGGCUAACUACGUGCCGGCAGCCGCGGUAAUACGUAGGUGGCAAGCGUUGUCCGGAUUUAUUGGCGUAAAGCGAGCGCAGGCGGUUUCUUAAGUCUGAUGUGAAAGCCCCCGGCUCAACCGGGGAGGGUCAUUGGAAACUGGGAGACUUGAGUGCAGAAGAGGAGAGUGGAAUUCCAUGUGUAGCGGUGAAAUGCGUAGAUAUAUGGAGGAACACCAGUGGCGAAGGCGGCUCUCUGGUCUGUAACUGACGCUGAGGCUCGAAAGCGUGGGGAGCAAACAGG
rnacentral:rRNA from 1 species